UACGGGGGGGGCAAGCGUUGUUCGGAAUUACUGGGCGUAAAGGGCUCGUAGGCGGCCAACUAAGUCGGAUGUGAAAUCCCCAGGCUUAACCUGGGAACUGCAUCCGAUACUGGAUGGCUUGAAUUCGGGAGAGGGAUGCAGAAUUCCAGGUGUAGCGGUGAAAUGCGUAGAUAUCGGGAGGAACACCAGUGGCGAAGGCGGUUGCCUGGAGCUUUGCUGACGCUGAUGCGCGAAAGCGUGGGGAGCGAUCCGG
rnacentral:rRNA from 1 species